GCAUUGUUGGGGUAGUGGUAACCUGGGUCGUUGCCAUAAGAAUUUGCCUAUUCGACCCGCCCCGGGUUCGAUUCCCGGACAAUGCA